AAUCCUGUGGUGAGGGCAUUUGCAUCCUAACUCUUUGAAUCUUUCUCAUGCCUCAUAUAAGGAUUCGUCAUCCAUUUGUAGAAAUGUGGGGAUCUCAUUCCGCAACU
rfam:Gossypium raimondii chromosome 4, whole genome shotgun sequence.